AAGAACAUGUAAUUACAUAAUACAAUAUUAGUCUAAAAGGCCAAUAACCAUUAGCAACUAGAAGGGGAAUAAACAAACAAUAAAAAUCAUAUUUACAUCAACGCUAACAUGCUGCCAAUGGUUCCAAAGCAUCAAAAUAUUCAAAUCAUAGUAGUUAUUUUUUCUUUCUCCCUUCUCUUUGGUAUAAUCUUCCAUAUGGGCAGCCCUGCUAAUGUAGAACCAAUGGGUGAGAAAGAAAUUCUCAAUAUUUUAUUAUACUCA
rnacentral:misc_RNA from 1 species